rnacentral:rRNA from 1 species
CACGUAGGCGGUUGGGUAAGCCUCUUGAGAAAGCUCCCGGCUUAACCGGGAAAGGUCGAGGGGAACUACUCAGCUAGAGGACGGGAGAGGAGCGCGGAAUUCCCGGUGUAGCGGUGAAAUGCGUAGAUAUCGGGAAGAAGGCCGGUGGCGAAGGCGGCGCUCUGGAACGUACCUGACGCUGAGGUGCGAAAGCGUGGGGAGCAAACA